CUCUCUGAUGAGAAGCUUAUCACAGAUGUGUAUGGAGAUCCAUGAGGAUAGAAGACUGAGGAGAC
rnacentral:snoRNA from 1 species